AUUGAACGCUGGCGGCAGGCCUAACACAUGCAAGUCGAGCGGGGUUUUCGGACCUAGCGGCGGACGGGUGAGUAAUGCGUAGGAAGCUACCCGAUAGAGGGGGAUACCAGUUGGAAACGACUGUUAAUACCGCAUAAUGUCUACGGACCAAAGUGUGGGACCUUCGGGCCACAUGCUAUCGGAUGCGCCUACGUGGGAUUAGCUAGUUGGUGAGGUAAUGGCUCACCAAGGCGACGAUCUCUAGCUGGUUUGAGAAGAUGAUCAGCCACACUGGAACUGAGACACGGUCCAGACUCCUACGGGAGGCAGCAGUGGGGAAUAUUGGACAAUGGGCGCAAGCCUGAUCCAGCCAUGCCGCGUGUGUGAUGAAGGCCUUAGGGUUGUAAAGCUCUUUUACCCGGGAUGAUAAUGACAGUACCGGAGAAUAAGCUCCGGCUAACUCCGUGCCAGCAGCCGCGGUAAUGUGACUACUG
rnacentral:rRNA from 1 species